AUUGAACGCUGGCGGCAGGCCUAACACAUGCAAGUCGAACGAGUGGCGGACGGGUGAGUAAUGUCUGGGAAACUGCCUGAUGGAGGGGGAUAACUACUGGAAACGGUAGCUAAUACCGCAUACCAUCGGAUGUGCCCAGAUGGGAUUAGCUAGUAGGUGGGGUAAAGGCUCACCUAGGCGACGAUCCCUAGCUGGUCUGAGAGGAUGACCAGCCACACUGGAGCGGAGCCACGGUCCAGACUCCUACGUGAGGCAGCAGUGUGAAAUAUGGCACAAUGGGCGAAGGCCUGAUGCAGCCAUGCCGCGUGUAUGAAGAAGGCCUUCGGUUUGUAAAGUACUUUCAGCGGGGAGGCGUUACCCGCAGAAGAAGCCCCGGCUAACUCCGUGACAGCGGCCGGGGUAAUAC
rnacentral:rRNA from 1 species